rnacentral:rRNA from 1 species
AGAGAAGGUGCGCCGGUGAGGGUGAAGGACUUGCUCCGUAAGCCCAUGCCGGUCGAAGAUACCAGGCCGCUGCGACUGUUUAUUAAAAACACAGCACUCUGCAAACACGAAAGUGGACGUAUAGGAUGUGACGCCUGCCCGGUGCCGGAAGGUUAAUUGAUGGGGUUAGCUAACGCGAAGCUCUUGAUCGAAGCCCCGGUAAACGGCGGCCGUAACCAUAACGGUCCUAAGGUAGCGAAAUUCCUUGUCGGGUAAGUUCCGACCUGCACGAAUGGCGUAACGAUGGCGGCGCUGUCUCCACCCGAGACUCAGUGAAAUUGAAAUCGCUGUGAAGAUGCAGUGUAUCCGCGGCUAGACGGAAAGACCCCGUGAACCUUUACUAUAGCUUUGCACUGGACUUUGAAUUUGCUUGUGUAGGAUAGGUGGGAGGCUUUGAAGCGUGGACGCCAGUUCGCGUGGAGCCAACCUUGAAAUACCACCCUGGCAACUUUGAGGUUCUAACUCAGGUCCGUUAUCCGGAUCGAGGACAGUGUAUGGUGGGUAGUUUGACUGGGGCGGUCUCCUCCUAAAGAGUAACGGAGGAGUACGAAGGUGCGCUCAGACCGGUCGGAAAUCGGUCGUAGAGUAUAAAGGCAAAAGCGCGCUUGACUGCGAGACAGACACGUCGAGCAGGUACGAAAGUAGGUCUUAGUGAUCCGGUGGUUCUGUAUGGAAGGGCCAUCGCUCAACGGAUAAAAGGUACUCCGGGGAUAACAGGCUGAUACCGCCCAAGAGUUCAUAUCGACGGCGGUUUUGGCACCUCGAUGUCGGCUCAUCACAUCCUGGGGCUGAAGCCGGUCCCAAGGGUAUGGCUGUUCGCCAUUUAAAGUGGUACGCGAGCUGGGUUUAGAACGUCGUGAGACAGUUCGGUCCCUAUCUGCCGUGGACGUUUGAGAUUUGAGAGGGGCUGCUCCUAGUACGAGAGGACCGGAGUGGACGAACCUCUGGUGUUCCGGUUGUCACGCCAGUGGCAUUGCCGGGUAGCUAUGUUCGGAAUAGAUAACCGCUGAAAGCAUCUAAGCGGGAAACUAGCCUCAAGAUGAGAUCUCACUGGGACCUUGAGUCCCCUGAAGGGCCGUCGAAGACUACGACGUUGAUAGGUUGGGUGUGUAAGCGCUGUGAGGCGUUGAGCUAACCAAUACUAAUUGCCCGUGAGGCUUGAAC